rnacentral:lncRNA from 1 species
GGAUGAGUUGGUCCAUAGCCCUUGAAGGGCAUAUGGUGAAGGUUUGUGCAUGUUGGCAAGAUUGUGUGUGAACUCAUGAUUUACCUAGAAGAUGAAAGUCCUAUGACUAUUGAGUAUAUUGUGGUAUUGUUGAAAAGGCUAUUCUUCUCUUACCCCUACACUUGAUAUUGUAUGAAUGGUCUAGGAUGAUUAUAAUGUUGUUGAUUGUGUCAUUUCAAGGACAAUUACACACACACACUCCAUGC